rnacentral:rRNA from 1 species
GAUGAACGCUGGCGGCGUGCCUAAUACAUGCAAGUCGAGCGAACGGACGAGAAGCUUGCUUGGCUGAUGUUAGCGGAGGAGGGGUGAGACACACGUGGAUAACCUACCUAUCAGACGGGGAAAACUUCGGGAAACGGGCGCUAAUACGGGAUGCUCUGUUCAACCGCAUGGUGCAAGAGUGAAGGGCGGUCUUGCUGUGAGUUAUAGACGGAUCCUCGCUGCUUUGGGGAGUUGUUACGGCAACGGAUUACCAUGGCAACGAGGCGUAGCCGACCAGAGAGGGUGAGCGGCCACACUGUAACAGAGAGACGGUCCAGACGCCUACGGGAGGCAGCAGGGGGGAAUCUGCCACAAUGGGCGAAAGCCUGAAAGAGCAAUGCCGCGUGGGUGAGGAAGGUCUUGGGAUCGUAAAGCUCUGUUAUUAGGGAGGACCAGAUGUGUAAGUAACUAUGCACAUCGUGACGGUACUGAGUCAGAAAGCCACGGCUAACUACGUG